rnacentral:rRNA from 1 species
GGGUAGAUCUCCACCCUUGAAUAUAAACCUUUGUUGCUUUGGCGGGCCGCUUCGGCUAUCGGCUUCGGCUGGUAAGUGCUCGCCAGAGAAACCCAAGCUCUGAAUUACAGUGUCGUCUGAGUACUAUAUAAUAGUUAAAACUUUCAACAACGGAUCUCUUGGUUCUGGCAUCGAUGAAGAACGCAGCGAAAUGCGAUAAGUAAUGUGAAUUGCAGAAUUCAGUGAAUCAUCGAAUCUUUGAACGCACAUUGCGCCCCUUGGUAUUCCGGGGGGCAUGCCUGUUCGAGCGUCAUUAUAACCCUCAAGCCUAGCUUGGUGUUGGAGCAUGCCUACAGGCAGUUCUCAAAAUCAGUGGCAGUGCCUUCUGGCUCUAAGCGUAGUAAAUUUUCUCGCUAUAGAUUUCAGAGGGACACGCGCCAGAACCCCCAACUUUCUAUGGUUGACCUCGGAUCAGGUAGGGAUACCCGCUGAACUUAAGCAUAUCAAUAAGCGGAGGAAAAGAAACCAACAGGGAUUGCCUCAGUAACGGCGAGUGAAGCGGCAAAAGCUCAAAUUUGAAAUCUGGCUCUUUCAGGGUCCGAGUUGUAAUUUGUAGAAGAUGCUUUGGGUGUGGUUCCGGUCUAAGUUCCUUGGAACAGGACGUCAUAGAGGGUGAGAAUCCCGUAUGUGAUCGGUUGCCUUCGCCCGUGUAAAGCUCUUUCGACGAGUCGAGUUGUUUGGGAAUGCAGCUCAAAAUGGGUGGUAAAUUUCAUCUAAAGCUAAAUAUUGGCCAGAGACCGAUAGCGCACAAGUAGAGUGAUCGAAAGAUGAAAAGCACUUUAGAAAGAGAGUUAAACAGUACGUGAAAUUGUUGAAAGGGAAGCGCUUGCAAUCAGACUUGCACGCGGUUGAUCAUCCGGUGUUCUCACCGGUGCACUCUGCCGCGUUCAGGCCAGCAUCGGUUUCGGUGGUUGGAUAAAGGCCUUGGGAAUGUAGCUCCUCU